CUGUGGCCACUAAUCGUUGGCUUUCUGCUCCAGAAUUGGAAAUGUGGUUAUGUGGACUGUGGGGCUCCCGCGGGAGAGAGCGUGAAGUUGAGGCUGGUGAACGGAGGCAGCCGGUGUGCUGGGAGAGUGGAGGUUCACUUCCGAGGAAUAUGGGGCGCAGUGGGAAAUCCGUCAUGGGAUCUGCCGGAUGCUGCGGUUGUUUGCCGGGAGUUGGGCUGUGGAGCUGCCGUGUCAGCACCAGGAAACGCAUUGUU